AUGUCAAAAGGGCUGUGGAACUACUGGAUAAGCUUCAGAAAACUGGAGAGGUACCAUCAGCCAAGUUGGCAGCACUACAGCGUGUUCUUCAGUCAGAAUUUCUAACGGCUGUUCGAGAAGUAUAUGAGCAUGUAUAUGAGACUGUAGACAUCUCGGGCUCACCUGAAAUACGUGCAUCAGCAACGGCAAAAGCAACAGUAGCUGCCUUUGCUGCAAGUGAGGGCCAUGCCCACCCAAGAGUUGUAGAGCUUCCCAAGACUGAUGAAGGAUUGGGGUUUAAUGUGAUGGGAGGCAGAGAACAGAAUUCUCCCAUAUAUAUAUCCCGCAUCAUUCCUGGUGGUGUAGCAGAUCGCCAUGGUGGUCUGAAGAGAGGCGACCAGCUCCUGUCUGUGAAUGGAGUGAGUGUCGAGGGUGAGAACCAUGAACGUGCGGUGGAGUUGCUGAAGGCUGCCAGCGGUUCGGUCAAGUUGGUGGUCCGGUAUACCCCUCGAGUGUUGGAGGAGAUGGAGAUGCGAUUCGACAAACAGCGGGCGUCACGUGGGGACUCUUCUCCAGGGCAGUUUUGGCAUCAAGAAUGGAAGUAAACUAUUUUCUACAUAUUAUCUAGUUUACUGUGAAAAGGGACUCAACUUUAGGGAUACCUUUUUCCUAGUUAAAGGAGUCUGUAUAUGGAAUUAAGGGCUAGGGCUGGUCCCAGGAAAGUUUGUUGUGGGCUUGUCAUUGUGCAGGUGGAGGACAGUGGAAUUAAAGAUGCCACAGCAGGUUGCAGCUCCAGACCAAAGAUGAUCAUUCUUUCCAAUUUGUAAUCUUUAGUCACAAACAUUUUAAGCCGUAUGUCUUGUGCAUCAUCCAGUACCCCCACCAGCCACCCCUACCCCUCUAAGCUAGGUUUCUUGAAAUCUAUUGACAGUCCCUUUAGUCUGUUACCAUGUAGAGAGAAAAAAAUCCUUCAGUGUAAUAAUAUUGAUAUCAAAUCGUAUCGUAAAUGCUUUCAGAAUUAGACAUUGUAAUGUAAUAUUCUCCAUCUUUUUAAGGAUUGCAUAUUUUCCAGUUUUGUCCUCCUAGUUUUGGUUGUUUUAGAUAUAUUUUCCAUCUUUCUAUACAGACAAUUGUAUAGAUUUGACUUUUUCAAAGAAUUUUAAUCAGAUUAUACCUGAAAUUUGUAGUAAUUUGUCAUUUAAAACUAUAAAUGUAUAUUAAUGUAGUAAAACAUCAUUGAUGACUUUCUGUUCAAGGGUUUGAGAAAGCCAAUAACAUUUCAUGUGAAUGAAAGUAUGAGUGUAAAUUCCCAUUGUUCUUAAAGGUAAGGGCAGCUAUAAAAGUAUGUAUGAGUGUAUGCUUGUGCUGGGCAAAUGAUUUUCUCAUUUUGUUUUUUCAUUUUCCUUGGCAUGAAUUGUUUGCUGUAAGUUUAACAUAUCAUUUUUAAAUAACCAUAUUUGCAUAUAGAAACUGGAUACUGACCAAUCAAAAUAUGUACAUGUGUCAUAUAUAGUACCACGUAAGUGAUGUUGGUUCAGUAAUGGAGAAUGGGAUUGACACGUUAACUGUGUUCAGCUAGUCUUUAAAGAAUAUAUUUCAUGUAUUUUGAUUGCCAAUCUUAGUUCAUCAUUAUGCAUUUUCAUUUAUUGCAGAUAGAUUGAACUCUUGUUCAAAUUUCAUUUUUCAUGAAUAAACCAAGAUUUCUGAUAUGUAUUGAAAUAUUAUGAAAUGGUAUAGAUGUAUAUCAAAUAUACUUAAAACUAUGAA
rnacentral:misc_RNA from 1 species